rnacentral:rRNA from 1 species
UACAGAGGUCUCAAGCGUUGUUCGGAUUCAUUGGGCGUAAAGGGUGCGUAGGUGGCGUGGUAAGUCGGGUGUGAAAUUUCGGAGCUUAACUCCGAAACUGCAUUCGAUACUGCUGUGCUUGAGGACUGGAGAGGAGACUGGAAUUUACGGUGUAGCAGUGAAAUGCGUAGAGAUCGUAAGGAAGACCAGUGGCGAAGGCGGUCUCCUGGGGCAUUCUUGACGCUGAGGCGCGAAAGCUGGGGGAGCAAACGGG